AUUGAACGCUGGCGGAAUGCUUUACACAUGCAAGUCGAGCGGCAGCACGGGGGCAACCCUGGUGGCGAGCGGCGAACGGGUGAGUAAUACAUCGGAACAUGCCCAGUCGUGGGGGAUAACACUUCGAAAGAAGUGCUAAUACCGCAUACGUCCUGAGGGAGAAAGCGGGGGAUCUUCGGACCUCGCGCGAUUGGAGUGGCCGAUGUCAGAUUAGCUAGUUGGUGGGGUAAAGGCCUACCAAGGCAACGAUCUGUAGCUGGUCUGAGAGGAUGAUCAGCCACACUAGGCCUGGGACGCGGCCCAGACUCCUACGGGAGGCAGCAGUGGGGAAUUUUGGGCAAUGGGGGCAACCCUGAUCCAGCCAUUCCGCGUGAGUGAAGAAGGCCUUCGGGUUGUAAAGCUCUUUCGGCAGGAACGAAACGGCGAGCUCUAACAUAGCUUGCUAAUGACGGUACCUGAAGAAGAAGCACCGGCUAACUACGUGCCAGCAGCCGCCGUAAGAC
rnacentral:rRNA from 1 species